rnacentral:lncRNA from 1 species
AUUCCCAAACGUAUUUCUAGGGUGCAGGACCAAACAACUUAACCAAACAUUAGGAUCUUUAAUUUUUAGAAUGUUUUUGUUGUGUUGAGACAUACUUAGCCACAUCUAAGUCCCAGCAUGGCAGAUCUUGGUAAUUUCCCAUCAGUCCCACGUGCACAGGCCUCCCAUGGCUUAAGUGACGUGAACUUACAGCUGCACAUGAUGCUGAUGUUUAGCAACAAGAGGUGAGGGCUUAAACUG